UACAGAGGGUGCGAGCGUUAAUCGGAAUUACUGGGCGUAAAGCGCGCGUAGGCGGCUUUGCAAGUCGGGUGUGAAAUCCCCAGGCUUAACCUGGGAACUGCAUUCGAGACUGCAUUGCUAGAGUAUGGGAGAGGGAAGUGGAAUUUCCGGUGUAGCGGUGAAAUGCGUAGAUAUCAGGAAGAACACCCGUGGCGAAAGCGGCUCUCUGGAACGGUACUGACGCUGAGACGCGAAAGCGUGGGGAGCGAACAGG
rnacentral:rRNA from 1 species